CUUGCUCUUUUUAUUUUGAAAGGAUUCGUUAUGAUCUGGCAGAAGGAAACCAUCCAUAGCUAACUUGCUAUUUGUAUGGGAAGACUAUCGAAAGCUUUCUUGCAAAAGACCUACCCUUUCCGAUAGGUGAUGUUGACCUCUUACCUCGUUCUUUUAUUGCACACGUUUGUGAUUAAAGCUUAUUUGUUGUUAUUGUUGAUGCUGUUGUUGUUAUCUGUAAAGUUCCGUAGUGUUUGUUUUUCUUUAAUUGUAAUAGAUUUAGAAUUGUACAGCUUGCAUUAUAGUUCAAUCAGCUAUGUAGUUAAUUUACCAAGUCUUAUUUGCUACCAAAUAGUUUGAUGAAAUAUAUUCAGCAUAUGUGCUGAAUCAUAUCUUGUUGUUUAGUUCUGUUUGUUCUCGUAAACCUCCAAGACUUAUUUUAAUGGAAGUAUACGAUGUAUAUUGCUGAAUUAUAUCUUGCUAUUCAGUUUGGCUUGCUCUCGUAAACAUCUAUUUUUCAGUCUACUGGCUAUGUCCUAGUUAUAAUUUGCUAUCUGUUUAUUUCAUUUUUCUCUUCUAAAGGGCUUUUACAAGUCAAACUUUCAGUAAGUUUAUUGAAUAUAUGCAUUAUACUGCACCCGGUCAGUUCAUUUUGGGAUGGGUGACUCAACCUCUGUCUGCUGUAUCUGCCAUUCCCUUUGUUGAAUACUCUUGAUUGAUAGCUCUUUCCUUAUUCUCAAGGAAAUUAGGGUUUGUGACAAAUUGGCCUUCCAGUGCGCACAGUACCCUUUCCUUGGUCGAUCUUAUUAUUUGAGCAGAAUCAGAUUUCAGCCUCCUUGGACAAACCUAAUUGAUGCAUUACCGCGGAAACAUACAGAUAAUAUUUUCUACUAUUUGUUGGUAGUUGAGACUAUUUCUAUGCAUUCGCUAUGGGAAAGCUCGCAGGUGAUUAAUGGCUUGGCUAAAGUUUGGGUUGAUGCUUAAGUUUGACUGGGCUUGAAAUCAUGUUGCAAGUUUUGUUUGCAAUACUAUGGGUUCAUCUUCAAGUUCAUUUUGCUAGUAUGAUGGGAUGCAUGGCACAACUUCUGUCUGCAUUCGCCAUAUGUGCGCGAGAUAUUCUGUGGCCAUUUUAAGAAUGUUAGUAUCAUAUUAGAUAUAAAUUAGAUUCCAAACAUGUGAAACUAAAUUCUAAUUAUAGUUGAG